GCAUAGCUCGCAAUAAAUAAUUGAUCUGUCUCAGCUGGAUUGGAUUUCCAAUAAAAAUUCCUCCUCAGAGUUCAUAUCAUUCAUGGUGGAAUUGGAUCGUGAACGAGAUUUCAGUUUUUAAUCUCGAUUCUUCAAGCUUUCAACUUUACUUUAUUUUUAUUUAACAACCGCAGUAACACUUUUUAAAUUUUGAUUGACAAGCAAAUACUUGUAGAAGAAUCGAGUCGUGGUUCAAUUGCGCUUAUCAUUUUGUCAAUUUGUUGCAGCAGUAUGGAAAGUUAUUUAGCUGUGUUAAUAUUAUUUAUUUUGUGAGACUAACGAAACACUUGACUUUCUUCCAAAAGAAAAUUGCAAAGAAUUUGGCACUGCCAAAAUUGUGUACAAUUAAAUUAAGCAGAAAUUAAUCGAGACCUACACCGGAUGCACAUUAGGAGAACAGUUAGUAAAUGUUACUAGAAAGAAAAUAUUUUACCUAUCGUCACGAUUUUGACGAAAGGCUUGGCCGAUUUUUUUAAGAAAUCAUUACAUUCUCAAUUUCUAUGAAGGAAUUAUCUGCACUUAAAAUACCUGAAUGAAAGAAAGUGACACUCCAUAAAAGUCAAGAGUCAAGUCAAGAUCCAAUAUCACACCUGUCCAACAAGCCAUAUUUGACCUGUGACUACUAUUUACUAACAAGGAUUGAAAACCAACCAACGCACACACACAUCAUGAAAUUUCAAUCGCAGCCUUAAGUAUUUUAUUAUUUAAAAUGAUACGAUUAUGUAUAGCUUAUUGUUCAGCACUUUGGUCAUGUCAUGCAAUUCGAGUAGAUUUUUUAGACAUGAGAGUACAACAAACGGCUCGAUAAAAAUCUUAACAUGCAUGCACACCGAGGGAGAAGAAUGACCGACGGACGGACAGAUAAAUAUUAAAAGUGGCCACAAAUUAUUAUUAUGGUCCACUCACUCACUCACUUGUUGCUCUUGGUUCUAGGUUGGGACAACAAAUUGCUGUCGAAAUCUAAAUUGUUACACAAAGCAAGCAAGGGGGAGGACAACGCUCAAGUUCUGCAUCAACCACACACCAAGAAUAAAUGAGAUGCGACGAUUUAUCAGAAUUUCGUGACUUAAAAUGCUGACCUACAAUCAGAGAGGAUAUCACCAUUACUUGGCCAUUUUAAGCAUGACUGUAAUAAAUAAGUUAUACAUACGAUACGACCAGACCACCAAAUAAGAAGAAGAAAAGAAAAGGACCAAUCCUUUAAAAAAUAGUGUGGCAUUCCAUAUUGCGCAAGGUUUUGGGCUUGAUUUUUGAUCCAAAUGAAGAUGGUCUCAAUUCAUGCGUUAAGUGAAUUGGCGAUUCUUCGUGGGUAUGCAUGUGGUGCUUUCGUUCGAGAAUUUUUGCUGGCCUGGUCUAAAUAAGUACGUUGUCUGUCUCGUAAAUUAAUUCUCUCAGAGCAUGUAAUGGUAAUUGUGGUAUUGUGUUGCAAGGAAUAAUACACUAAAUCAACUAUGUAUAUCUGCAUUUUUUUCGUUUAGAUCGUGAUAUUUCCAAGAAAUGUUGCGUUGGCUUGAUUUGUUCCACAGAAUGUCACGAAAGAUCGUUCCCUGCGCAGAUUUAUUAAUUGUUGCAGCACAAAUGAAGGAAGGAGGAUGCAUUUCAAAUUAAGUUUCGCCUCACAAAAGAUUCUUUUCGUAAUUAAUCAUACAAAAUAUAACCGAUUUUAAUGCAAUUUGUCAUUUUCCAAACUACGGUAUAUCCUCUGCCAGGUGAAAAUACUGAGGAAAUUUUAGUUGGCAAUUUAUUAUCACGAAAAUUUUUCCCUUUUGCUUGCACAUAAUUUUUAUUUGUAUCCUGCUUGACCACCCAACCGAGUCUCCUUGCUGAAUUCCUGUCACAAUUAUUUACUUUGGGAUAUUGUCGUGACCAUUGUCGUCCACUAAAGGUGAUCCUAACUAACUAAGCAAAAGCGGAUGACGGCGCAUGUUGACUUUCAAUUCCAUACAUAUUUAUGUACAUACAUUCAUCCAAAUAUAAGCCAUAAGUAGAGAGAACAGUGAUAAGUAAAUACUUGGUGCAGAUCUUUCUCGAAAAAAACUUGGCAAUGUGCGAAUUACGAGAAAAACAAGAUAAUGAAUUAAUAACAAUAGGCCUUGAUUAGAGGAGGAGAUUGCUUGUUUUGCUUUUACUUUUCUUGUAUCAAAAUCAUUAAGGAGAGGACUUUACUUAUCUUAAUGGAUACAUUAUUUAUUAUCCCACACAUUGUGCACCCACACUUUUGUCCCCUUAAAAUAAAUUGGAUUGGAUUGGACAAGAACUUUAUUUUGGACAAGUUUACUGACGGUGGUGGAAAUGUGGUAAUAAUAACCUCACACAAUGAAAUAACAUGGCAUGUUGGUGACUAUUAGCCGCAAAUCCACGGCCAAAAAUAACGACAGGAAGGUGAUGAUGAUGGUGGGGGAUCAAUUAUUCGCUGUGAUGCAACCGCAGUCACGAAUUUGUAAAAUAAUGUUGUAACAAAAAAAGACUUGAGCGAACGACAAUAAAUAAGAUAACCCCAAUAACUCUGUAA